GUGCUCCCCCGCCAAUUCCUUUAAGUUUCAGCCUUGCGGCCGUACUUCCCAGGUGGCUCGCUUCACGGCUUCCCUACGGCACCGACCACGGUCGCACCGUGGCCGACACCUAGCGAGUAUCGUUUACGGCUAGGACUACCCGGGUAUCUAAUCCGGUUCGUGCCCCUAGCUUUCGUCCCUUGCCGUCAGAUCCGUUCUGGUGAGACGCCUUCGCCACUGGUGGUCCCUCAAGGAUUACAAGAUUUCACCCCUACCCCUGAGGUACCUCUCACCUCUCCCGGUCUCGAGCCGAUCAGUAUCUCCUGAAAGCCUGACAGUUAAGCUGCCAGAUUUCCCAAGAGACUUAAUCAGCCGGCUACAGACCCUUUAGACCCAAUAAUAGCGGUUACCACUCGAGCCGCCGGUGUUACCGCGGCGGCUGGCACCGGUCUUGCCCGGCCCUUGCUAUGCAAUGCUUUUUAGGCAUUACGACAGCCAGGAUUGUAUCCUGGCACUCGAGGUCCCCUUAUCGCUGUUUCCAGCAUUGUAAAGUUUUCGCGCCUGCUGCACCCCGU
rnacentral:rRNA from 1 species